rnacentral:misc_RNA from 1 species
CAACACCAACACCAACACCAACACCAACAGCCACAGCAGCACUCUAGUACAGGGAUGCGAGCUGUUUUUCUUGGUGGAUCUGGUGUUAAAAGAGAAUGUGCUGGGACUGGUGUUUUCUUGCCUCGCAGAUAUGGCAAUCCCCCUGAUUCCAAGAAGAAAUCAGCUUGCUCAACAGUACUGCUUCCUGCAAAAGUGGUUCAGGCACUAAAUUUGAAUUUUGAGGACAUGAACAUGAACAACCAAGCCCAAGUCCAGCCACGCAUUAAUUGUACUUUUGCCUCUGAUUAUGAUGCUUUAAUGGCAAGAAGGAAUGUCCUUUUGGCACAGCAGAAGAGAAAUUUGAGAGCUGAGGGUGUCCUUAACCAUGAAGUACGCUUGCCUCAAGAGUGGACAUACUGACCCAAGAAUUAGUCCCUCUUAUGAUAUAUAGUGUUGUUUUUGCUGGACAAAAGAAAGCAAGUAUAGAGGUAGAAGUAUGAAAUAGGGUUUUGAUGGCAUAAUUUGGUUUUUACUUAGGAAAAGAAAUUCAAGAAGGAAGUGAAAUAAGAACUAAGAAAGCCAGUUUUUUUUUCUUUUUGGGGUUUUUGAGGGAAGUUUGCAAUCAGCUUUUUAGAUUAUGCAGCAAAAGGAAUGACGAAGAAGCAGAAGCAGAUAGUAGUAGUAGAAGAGGUAUUUUUGUUGUAAUAAAAGGAUUAUGUCUUGAAAGGUUCUUUUUGUAAGGGGCAUGGGUAAGCCUUCUUGUUUUGAUUUUAAGGCAUAAACUGUGUUUAUGUUAUUUAUUUAGGGGAAAGAUUAUGGUUGGAAAUGGGGAGGGUUGUGCUUGUCCAUGUUCAUCCACAACCCUCAAAUGCUGUAAUGUCUCCCUUGGCAGCUAAAAAAUUUCUAAUAAGAGAAGCUUUUUA